GAUAAACGUUGGCGGCGUGCCUAAUGCAUGCAAGUCGCACGGAGCUUCGGCUCAGUGGCGGACGGGUGAGUAACACGUAGGAACCUGCCCAGAAGUGGGGGAUAACUCCUCGAAAGAGGA
rnacentral:rRNA from 1 species